GCAGUGGGAAACAGAUGGGGAACAGAUGGGGAACAGUUGGAGGCAGUGGGAAACAGAUGGGGAACAGGUGGAGGCAUUGGGAAACAGAAGGGGAACAGGUUUAUGCAGUGGGAAACAGAUGGGGAACAGGUGGAGGCAAUGGGUAACAGAUGGGGAACAGGUGGAGGCAGUGGGAAACAGAUGGGGAACAGACGGGGAACAGGUGGAGGCAGUGGGAAACAGAUGGGGAACAGAUGGGGAAUAGGUGGAGGCAGUGGGAAACAGAUGGGGAAAAGAUGGGGAACAGGUGGAGGCAGUGGGAAACAGAUGGGGAACAGGUGGAG
ensembl:lncRNA